UGGACCUAAUCAAAAUAUUAGUGUCUUAAGAAGAAAGAGAAAAGCCAUUUGUUUUUUAAAACAUGUCCAAAAGACAUCAGACUGAAAAAGUUCGAAACCAAACUCAUCUUUUGUCUAAAACCUGCUCCAACCAGAGUCUUACCCAUCCCGACUGAUGGCAACUCCAUCUUUCCAGUUGUUCAAGCCCAAAGUUUUGGAGUCAUUUCUUCACUUCUUGGUUUCUGUCACACCCCCACUUCCAAUUAGAUCAUCCUAUAGGCUCUAUUUUCAACACGUAUCCAGAAUUCAGUCUCUUCUCAAGCACCUCCACUGCUAAUGCUGUGGCCUGAAUUGGCCCAUGUUUCAACUACACUACUGCUGUUGCUGCCUGGUCUACUUGCUUUUGUUUACAGCCUUUACAAUCUCUUUAUGUCUUUUCGACACACAUCCAGGGUAACCUUGAUGAAAUGGAAGUCACUCUAUGGCCCUUCUCUUCUCGAAACUCUACAGAGGCUCCCAGUUUUCCUUACAGUAACAGCCAAAGUGCUUGUAAUGGCUCACAAAACCUGAUGUGAUCAGUCUCUCCUCCAUUGCUGCCUGACUGUCCCUCACCUCUGUCCCAUCACUCGCUCUAAUCCAGCCACCUUAGCAUCCUUGCUAUUUCCCCAAAACACUACUGCUUCAGGCCUUUGCACUAGCUAUGUUUUCUGUCUGUAAUUUUCAUCCCUUUUAUAUCCACAUGGCCCACUCCUUCACCUUUUGAAAUCUUUUCUUAUUUACAAUUAUAAACUUCCAUCCCUCCAACCCCUCCAAAAGUCUUGAUAUCCCUUAUCUUCUCUAUUUUUCCCAUAGCACUUACUACCUUUAACAUUUAGAAUUUAUUUAAUUAUUUUGUCUAUUUCCUGUUUCUGCUCUUAGAAUAUAAACUCUGUAGGGCAGGGUUU
rnacentral:lncRNA from 1 species